CUGCAGCCCGAGUGGUGAUCGAUUUUAUUGAGCCUAAAGCGUCCGUAGCCGGACUAGUAAAUUCUUGGGUAAAUCGGGCAGCUUAACUGUCCGACUUCCGAGGGGACUGCUAGUCUUGGGACCGGGAGAGGUCAGAGGUACUCAAGGGGUAGGGGCUAAAUCCUGUAAUCCUUUGGGGACCACCAGUGGCGAAGGCGUCUGACUAGAACGGAUCCGACGGUAAGGGACGAAACCCUGGGGCGCGAACCGGAUUAGAUACCCGAGUAGUCC
rnacentral:rRNA from 1 species